CACGCCCUAAACGAUGUCGACUAGUUGUUCGGAGGGUAAAACCUUUGAGUAACGUAGCUAACGCGUGAAGUCGACCGCCUGGGGANACGCGAAAAACCUUACCUACCCUUGACAUGUCAGGAACUUUCCAGAGAUGGAUUGGUGCCCGAAAGGGAGCCUGAACACAGGUGC
rnacentral:rRNA from 1 species